rnacentral:rRNA from 1 species
UAGGGAAUCUUCCGCAAUGGGCGAAAGCCUGACGGAGCAACGCCGCGUGAGUGAUGAAGGUCUUCGGAUCGUAAAACUCUGUUAUUAGGGAAGAACAAAUGUGUAAGUAACUAUGCACGUCUUGACGGUACCUAAUCAGAAAGCCACGGCUAACUACGUGCCAGCAGCCGCGGUAAUACGUAGGUGGCAAGCGUUGUCCGGAUUUAUUGGGCGUAAAGCGAGCGCAGGCGGUCAAUUAAGUCUGAUGUGAAAGCCCCCGGCUCAACCGGGGAGGGUCAUUGGAAACUGGUUGACUUGAGUGCAGAAGAGGAGAGUGGAAUUCCAUGUGUAGCGGUGAAAUGCGUAGAUAUAUGGAGGAACACCAGUGGCGAAGGCGACUCUCUGGUCUGUAACUGACGCUGAGGCUCGAAAGCGUGGGUAGCAAACAGG